GUCAACAGUGAUCACUGACUGUUUUUAGGAGCUUUUUGAGAUUAAAUAGAAGAAAAUACAAAGCAUUAAACAUGUUAACAACACAAAACCCAGACUACUUUAGGCCCGGAAGUAGGAUUCGUCGCGUCAGCUGUGUUAUCUGCUUCGUUUUUGUGGGUCUGACCCUCAAAUCCUUACUGAGUCAUAUUAAUUCUGCACAUAGCCAUAGUCCAGAUUUCCGUGUAGUUUGUGGCAUAGAUGGAUGUGUCAAAGAAUAUCGUGUUUACAAUUAUCACAUUCGUCGAACACACUCUGACCACCUUGGCAAUGGACUAUGCAGUGGAUCGACUAUGACACAAAAAUCUGUAAGGUGAGACUGACUAUAUACUUUGAUAUCUUUGUAAAUAAUCAUAUAAAGUAUUCAUAUUAAAUUCCUACUUGUUUUUACAGCUUAACAGUAGAUAUGUUAAUGCUAAUUCCUUAUGAUCCACAACAAUGCUAUCUAUUUAUAAAGACUUUCUGAGUGUUUAAUUUCUCCUAAUAGAGAAAACAGCAUUUUUAAUUUUUUUUAAACUUUUGUUUUAAAUAAACCGAUGGGCAUGGUCCAGAGUCUCCUUGGUUGUUUGUGUUUAUUAAUAUUCAUUGUUUCAGUUAGUUUCCUGGUAAUUUGUUAAUUAUUUCCAGUGUUUAGGUGUUCUCCGUGCCUCCCUUGUCUUGAGUCAAGUGUCCCUGGUUUGAUGUUCAUGUUUAUUCCUGUUUUACUUUGAUAGUCCCAUGCCCUGCAUCCGUGUAUUCUGUUGCGCUUCCCCCUGGUCUCUUCUCAUCUGAUUAGUGUCAGCUGUGUUUCGUACCUGUCUGCCAACUCCUCGUUUCCCUGUGUGUGUGUAUAUAUUAGUGUGUACUUCCCUCCGUUCUUUGUCGGAUCGUCUGCUUUUUAUCCUCUGUCAUCUGUGUCGUCCCCCCCCCCCCAGGUUUUCAUGUCUCAUGCUCCUUGCUCCAGAUCUUCUAGGAGGGAACCCUCAUCAUUGGUGAGAGGUCUGAGUAACAUGUGGGCCUACUGAUCCAGUGGUCGAAAACCAGCCAACAAGCCAGCCAACAAUGGAUGCGGCUGUAGACACCAGAUUGAACUCAGGAGAAGAUGCAGUGAUUGAGCAAAACGCAAUACAGCAUGAUCCAGAUAGUGUGUGCCCGUGUUGUGUCAAACUUGACAGCAGUUUUAUUACACUUUAGUGUCAAUAAAUACAUUUCUUAAACUGA